UGAAAGACACGGGUAGUGAGAUGCUGUACUGUAGACUUCUUACUACCCUGUCUUUCGAG
rnacentral:pre_miRNA from 1 species